CGUGCCCCUAUAAAGCCUGGACACACGCUCCAGUCCAGUCAUACUCAAUGGAGCAGCCUAGACAUCACUCUGUUUCACUCCGCGUGUAAUACCUACAACUUAAGCGUCAAAGCAUGAAACGCAGGCGGUUGUUGCUCUCUCUGCCUCUCUUACCCACCAUCACUGAGACGCUCGAGGACUUGCCUGUCCAUCCCUCAUCCUCCCAAUCUACCCAGAGCUCCCAGUCUCUAGAGGAGUACAUGACCAGCAUCCAGGCCCUCGCCUGCCCUGUUGAGGCCCCAAGCUACGGCCCCGUCAGACUCCAGAGGUCCCGGCACUUCUCAAAGGCUCAGAUGAAGCUGUCUGUCUCAGCCUCACUUCCCCGCACACUAAGGACUUCUAGGCCUUACAGUCUGAGUCUAAACAGCACAGAGGAUUUUUCUCUCAAGAUGGGCAGAGAAAAAGACUGCAGGGGCAAAGACCCCAUGGACUGGCUGUUUGGACAGAUAAGAACUUGAAGAGAGACAAUGUUGUUGUGGGAAGAACUGGAGGCACUUUGUCGGAGUAUCUCAUAAUCAAACAUGGCUGGAAGAAGCUGCUCUGCUUAUGAAGAUGAAAACAACACAAUGUAUUGUGGGACUUAUUAUGAUGGCUGAACAAAGAUAAAAUCACCAAAAGGCUCGUGAGAAAAGUGAAGAUCUAUUUAUUUCUAUGUACUGAGGACUCAAGUCUGAAUGUUUACAGUGUUAAAUGUUUCAUAGAGAUGUAAAGGAUAUAGUUUCUAAUAAAAUAAAAAUACUCAUGAAAA